GAGAGCAGCAGUGGCGGAGGUCACUGAGGCUGGCCACACCCUUCCCUGCAGUGGGCAGGGCCCUAUCUAACAGAUGCUGCAAUGAACCUGGGAGUGCAGAUUAUCUCUUUGAGACACUGAUUUCGUUUCUUUCCAUUAUAUGUCCAGAAGUGGAAUGACUGGAUCAUAAGGAUGGAAGCUAUUGGACUGACCUUGGAAGCCAUUUGUUGAAGAUGGCUGAGCUGCAUCAGUCUGGCUUGCUGAACGCCUGGGCGAAAGAGAGCCUGCCAUUGCAGCGAGAACACUAUCAACGCUGCAUUGCAUUUGAUCUGUUGUCCUGGCAUCUUGUAGGAAGCUGUGAGAAAUUUGCUUCAGUCUCCAAAGUACAGUUUUCUACAAAUAGCUGGUUUGUGUACUGAAGGCCUACGGCCAUUCCACAGAGCCAACUGCAGAAGAACAAAUACAUGGAUGGUUAGAUUAUUCAAGAGACAAGGCACACAUCUAUCAGCUUUACAAGUCCUGGCAAGCAGUCAAGACCCCAUGUUCCCCCACUCCCUUCAACAGAAUCAAAGGUAAACAUGGAGCCAGCUCUCAUUUAAAUAUGGAGCAUCGAGAUCUUGCCUCCACUUUCACAGUUGUAGCAGCAGAAGAAAAACAACAGUCGAAGUAAGAAAAAGGUUUCCUUGGCAAGGAUGCCAAACUAAAUAAUGACACCCAAAGCAAAAACAUGCUUCACUGAAACUAAACUUCAGUCAUUUCAGCCUGCUUAAAACAAAGCUUUUUUUGUGAUUUCAAAAGUGAACAUUGUCCUUUGCUCUGGCAGCCAUUUCUGUGUUUUUGAAUGAUCCAAUUAUGCAUAAAUCCCCGGCCUACAGGUCUUUCAGCACCUCGAUCCCGCAAGUGAUUUGAAAACAUGACUGAAAAUUUUUGUAUACAGUGCCUGCCCUUUUCUUCCUCUUGGCCUUUUGAAAUAUACACUUUGACUACA